rnacentral:rRNA from 1 species
GACGAACGCUGGCGGCGUGCUUAACACAUGCAAGUCGAACGAUGAAGAAGAGCUUGCUCUUCGGAUUAGUGGCGAACGGGUGAGUAACACGUGACUAACCUGCCCCUUUCUCUGGGAUAACGCUCCGAAAGGAGUGCUAAUACCGGAUACUCACAUCGAGGCACAUGCCUUGAUGUGGAAAGUUUUUCGGAAAGGGAUGGAGUCGCGGCCUAUCAGCUUGUUGGUGAGGUAACGGCUCACCAAGGCGACGACGGGUAGCCGGCCUGAGAGGGCGACCGGCCGCAAUGGGACGGAGAGACGGCCCAGGCUCCUACGGGGGGCAGCAGUGGGGAAUAUUGCACAAUGGGCGAAAGCCUGAUGCAGCGACGCCGCGUGAGGGAUGAAGGUCUUCGGAUUGUAAACCUCUUUCAGUAGGGACGAAGCGAAAGUGACGGUACCUAAAGAAGAAGCACCGGCUAACUACGUGCCAGCAGCCGCCGCCG